rnacentral:rRNA from 1 species
AACGAACGCUGGCGGCAUGCCUAACACAUGCAAGUCGAACGAAACCUUCGGGUCUAGUGGCGCAUGAGUGCGUAACGCGUGGGAAUCUGCCCUUGGGUUCGGAAUAACAGUUGGAAACGACUGCUAAUACCGGAUGAUGACGUAAGUCCAAGGAUUUAUUGCGCAAGGAUGAGCCGGCGUAGGAUUAGCUAGUUGGGACGGUAAAGGCUCGCCAAGGCGACAAUCCUUAGCUGGUCUGAGAGGAUGAUCAGCCACACUGAGACUGAGACACGGCCCAGACUCCUACACGAGGCGGCAGAGGGGGAUAGAGCAGAAUGGGGGAAAGAAUGAGACACUACUGCAGCGAGAGUGGUGAAGUCCUGAGGGUUUUGAAGCUCUUUUAGCCGGGAUGAUAAUGACAGUACCGGGAGAAUAAGCCCCGGCUAACUCCGUG